rnacentral:tRNA from 1 species
AGUGGCUUAGAGGUUAAAGCGUCUGCCUCCAAUGCAGGAGACCCAGGUUCGAUCCCUGGUU